AGCGAACGCUGGCGGCAGGCUUAACACAUGCAAGUCGAGCGGGCAUCCUUGUGGUGUCAGCGGCAGACGGGUGAGUAACGCGUGGGAACGUGCCCUUCGGUUCGGAAUAACUCAGGGAAACUUGAGCUAAUACCGGAUACGUGCGAGAGCAGAAAGGUUUAUCUGCCGAAGGAUCGGCCCGCGUCUGAUUAGCUAGUUGGUGAGGUUAUGGCUCACCAAGGCGACGAUCGGUAGCUGGUCUGAGAGGAUGAUCAGCCACACUGGGACUGAGACACGGCCCAGACUCCUACGGGAAGCAGCAGUGGGGAAUAUUGGACAAUGGGGGCAACCCUGAUCCAGCCAUGCCGCGUGAGUGAUGACGGCCUUAGGGUUGUAAAGCUCUUUUCUUCGGGACGAUAAUGACGGUACCGGAGGAAUAAGCCCCGGCUAACUUCGUG
rnacentral:rRNA from 1 species